CCUGGAAAUAAUCAGUGCCUCUUCAAUGUUCCAGGAAAAGGCCUGUUGCUAGCUUUGUGUUGUAAAAAGUUAAUGAAUUUUCAUAUGAAAAUAGUUUUUUAAGGCUGUGGACAACAAAGACGUUGGAGGCUUUUACAUUUCCGUGAUCAGUUGCCGUGAAUGAGGACAUCUUACUUAUGUAAAUAGUAUUUACUGUGACGAACUUUGAGGCGUUCCUGGUGGGACGUCUGAGCCCACGACACGUUUCGCAACAUACUCCCUCAGACCUGUUUUUCUGAGGUUAGAAUGGAUCUUGUGAAACAUACCGGUGGCUGCCAUUGUGGAGCUGUGAGGUUUGAAGUGUGGAGCUCUCCAGACCUCCAUGUGUUCCAUUGCAACUGCAGUAUUUGUACAAAGAAACAAAAUCAUCAUUUCAUUGUCCCCAAAGACAACUUUACACUUUUGCAGGGUUUGGAUCAUCUGACCACAUAUACAUUUAACACUCACAAUGCGAAGCACACCUUCUGUAGAAACUGCGGGGUUCAGAGUUUCUACACGCCACGCUCCAACCCUGAUGGAUACGGUAUUGCGCCACAUUGUCUUGAUCCAGGUACUGUGCAAAGCAUCACAGUAGAAACAUUUACAGGAGACAAAUGGGAAGAAAGCAUGGAAGUGCACAAAACCAUCAGAGACAUGUCCAAACCAAAAGAACUGAGAAAUACUAAAUAAUUCCAGUGUUGUC